GACGAACCGUGCGAACGUUAUUCGGAAUCACUGGGCUUAAAGCGCGUGUAGGCGGGCCGGCACGUCGGUCGCUGAAAUCCCCCGGCUCAACCGGGGAAGGGGCGCCGAUACGACCGGCCUGGAGGGGGGUAGGGGGAGCCGGAACUUCCGGUGGAGCGGUGAAAUGCGUUGAGAUCGGAAGGAACGCCCGUGGCGAAAGCGGGCUCCUGGACCCCACCUGACGCUGAGACGCGAAAGCCAGGGAGCGAACAGG
rnacentral:rRNA from 1 species